CCUCCUACGGGGAUAAUCUUGAGGAUUCUUAUUUUUGGGAUAUUACAAAAAAAAAGUUUCGGGCGGUAAGCAAAAAAAAAAAAAAGACUCCCUUGCCUUGAAAAUGGCUGUUCCUAUCUCUCUCCUUCCUUUCUUCGCUUCUGGAUGGUUUCAGGAUCACCUACUGAUUGAUUUCGAGCUGAUCCAGGGGCUAGCUCGGCUACUGAUAGACAAAAAAACAGGAAAGAUUUUUCGGUGGAGCCAAUCAUCACAAAGAUUUAGGAGUUGGUCUUGAUGCUGAGUUGCAUGAUUUUGGGUUCACUUUGGCCCUCGUGGAAAGGACAUAUGUGAACGAGACGAAUAGACUCGUUUGGAGGACUAAAGCAAACUUCAUCUUUU
rnacentral:lncRNA from 1 species